AUUGAACGCUGGCGGCAGGCCUAACACAUGCAAGUCGAGCGGAGCGGCGGACGGGCGAGUAAGGCCUAGGUAUCUGACUGGUAGUGAGGGAUAACGUCCGGAAAGGGGCGCUAAGCCCGCAUACUAUCAGCCGAGCCUAGGUCGGAUUAGCUAGUUGGUGGGGUAAAGGCCUACCAAGGCGACGAUCCGUCACUGGUCUGAGAGGAUGAUCAGUCACACUGGAACUGAGACACGGUCCAGACUCCUACGGGAGGCAGCAGUGGGGAAUAUUGGACAAUGGGCGAAAGCCUGAUCCAGCCAUGCCGCGUGUGUGAAGAAGGUCUUCGGAUUGUAAAGCACUUUAAGUUGGGAGGCGUUACCAACAGAAUAAGCACCGGCUAACUUCGUGCCAGCAGCCGCGGUAAUAC
rnacentral:rRNA from 1 species